UGGGGAAUAUUGCACAAUGGGCGAAAGCCUGAUGCAGCGACGCCGCGUGCGGGAUGAAGGCCUUCGGGUUGUAAACCGCUUUUGAUUGGGAGCAAGCGAGAGUGAGUGUACCUUUCGAAUAAGCACCGGCUAACUACGUGCCAGCAGCCGCGGUAAUACGUAGGGUGCAAGCGUUAUCCGGAAUUAUUGGGCGUAAAGAGCUCGUAGGCGGUUUGUCGCGUCUGGUGUGAAAGUCCAUCGCUUAACGGUGGAUCUGCGCCGGGUACGGGCAGGCUAGAGUGCGACAGGGGAGACUGGAAUUCCCGGUGUAACGGUGGAAUGUGUAGAUAUCGGGAAGAACACCAAUGGCGAAGGCAGGUCUCUGGGUCGUCAACUGACGCUGAGGAGCGAAAG
rnacentral:rRNA from 1 species